ACGAGUGUUGUGUGAUCUUUGGUGAUGCGUUUCAUUCCACACAUCACUGAGGAUUGCAAGACACAUCGUAA
rnacentral:pre_miRNA from 1 species